rnacentral:rRNA from 1 species
UUGAAACAGGAUACAACUUCACACACCGGGUAAACAAAAGGAUAACAAAACCAAGUGGGCCUAAAAGCAGCCACCUUUAAGAAAGCGUUACAGCUCCACCUCACCCAACCCAAAAUCAUUUCAUCACCCAUCAACCCUUAACCCCUACUGAACCAUUUUAUAUUAUUAUAAAAACUAUUAUGCUAGGACUAGUAACAAGAAUUUGCUUUUCUCCUUAAUAUAAGCAUAAACCAAAACGGACUAUCCAUUGGCAAUUAACGUUAGUGAACUAAUUAUAGUAACAACCCUACUAGAAAACUCUAUAUUUAAUAACGUUAACCUCACACCAGAAUAUUAAAGGAAAGAUUAAAAGAAAAAGAAGGAACUCGGCAAAUUUCAACCCCGCCUGUUUACCAAAAACAUCGCCUCUUGAUAAACAUAAGAGGUCCAGCCUGCCCAGUGACAAUGUUCAACGGCCGCGGUACCCUAACCGUGCAAAGGUAGCAUAAUCACUUGUUCUUUAAAUGAGGACUUGUAUCAAUGGCAUCACGAGGGUUGUACUGUCUCCUUUUUCUAAUCAGUGAAACUGAUCU